CCAAGGAGUCUAACAUGUGCGCGAGUCAUUGGGAAUGAAAACCCAAAGGCGUAAUGAAAGUGAAGAUUCGAUUGCGAAUUUGAGGAGAGAUACCGUAGCGGUGUGGUGGCUUCCGAAAGGUCGUUGCCACAGCUUGGUCGCAUCUCCGGGACGUCUAUACCUCUGAAGGUGGGGCGUACCUAGAGCGUACACGUUGGGACCCGAAAGAUGGUGAACUAUGCCUGGUCAGAACGAAGUCAGGGGAAACCCUGAUGGAGGUUCGUAGCGAUUCUGACGUGCAAAUCGAUCGUCGGAACUGGGUAUAGGGGCGAAAGACUAAUCGAACCAUCUA
rnacentral:rRNA from 1 species